GGAGGGGUGGCAGAGCGGUCGAAUGCGCCAGUCUUGAAAACUGGUGACGUCGUGAGGCGUCCGCGGGUUCGAAUCCCGCCCCCUCCG
rnacentral:tRNA from 1 species